AAUUUUCUAAUUUUGGGAACCUUGAACCCGUUCACCUCUUUCUUUCCAGUUGAAAACCUUGAACCCUUCCAUCUUUACCGUAUUCAUCUCUCUUCCAGUAGACGCAUAUCCUCUUCCCAUAGUCCUCAUCUCCUCUAUCUUUCCCUCUGGCUCCAUCUUUCCCGUUUGGGAACCCUGUUGACUUCAUCUCCUCUAUCUUUCCCGUAUCUCCCCUUCCCAUAGUCCUCAUCUCCUCUAUCUCUCCUCUUCGCAACCUUGAUCCCCAAAUCUUGAACCCAGACCUGUCUUCCCUCUCUCUUUCCCGUAUACCUAUCUCUUCCCUCUCGUUCUAAACGACGGGCAGCCACACGAUCGAAACCGACGGGAAUCAACUCCCAAAAUCAAGUUUCAGUUGAUUCAAUCACGCAUUGGUUUGCAACAACCGUACUUGGUUUGCCUCGUAUUCAGUCACGCAUUCAGUCACGCAUUUGUUCAAAAGAUAACUCAAGGUUGAUCCAGUAUAAGGUAAAAGUCAUUUUCUUCUCAAAAACAGGGGUGCGUGCUGCUCCAUUCAUACGCCAAACUGCUAAAAAUUAUUGGAGUCAUGCUUCUUUUGCAUUCGUGCUAUGGCAAUAGAACUAUGGAAGACAAAUAUGAGGCAUCCUCAGGCAUCUGAGGUCGUCAACAAGGACAUAAUAUCGCACUUUGUUCUUUGGCUAGUUUAUUGCAGAACGUAAGAACUUGUAACAUUUUAUUCUCGUAAAAGAUUUCCUUAUUAUAUCUUAUUUUAUGUUGUUAAUUUUUAUUCUGCAUAACAGAAAUUUUCCUUUUGCUUAUUUAAUUGGCAUUGACUUACAUAUAGUAUUCAUGCAUGUUAGAUGUAUUCUUCAAAAUCUUGUUCUUUUAGAUAGUUGUGAAAAACCUGUAUUCUUGUUCUGAAGAAUGAGCCUUGCAUAUGGCUUUUCCAGAUUUGUAGGAAGUGUUAACUUUUCACAGGGGAUUGAAACUAGAAAACAUUUGAUGCACAUACUUAUAUAUGAUAUGCCUGACUGCUUAACCCAUUGCCUCGAGCUAUUACGGUAUUACCUUAGAUGAGAAUUUUACUUGAAAAGACUUAAGCAGUGCAGGACCCAACCAUUUAAAUACUAUACUUUUGAGCAGUUGCAUUAUAACCCACAUAUCCCAUGUAAAGUUUAUUCUAAACCUUUCAUGAGGUGGAACAAAUCAGUGAAAAAAUCUAUCAUUUUUGCUCACAAAAUACACAUACUGCCACGGUUUAAUUGCUAUUCUCCAAGAAGCAACAUCGCAGCUUCCCCCAGAGACCCCGAUUGAGGACGUCAUUGUACCCAAGGAUGCAGAUGUUCAGAUCGUGACUGAGGUCCAGGAUCAGAAGUUCGGUCGUCGUCAUGGUAAGGUUGUUCGGUGUACGGGGAAGGCGGGGGUUCGUGAAACGGGUGCUUCUUCUUCCAAAUUGUCCACAUGAGAGGUCAAUUCCUUGGAGGAAGUGAUAACCCUAAGAGGUCAGGUUGCGGCCCAGGGUGACCAUAUUAGGGCCCAGGACAAGAGGAUGAAUAUGAUUGUUCAGGCCUUACCGAUGUCCGGCCUCCAAAUCCCGACGAUGCUAGCACCUAAUGUUGCUCCACCUUCGACUUCCCAGCCAUUUCGCCCAAACGAUACCGAGUAGCAUGAUGUAUUAAACUUAGAAGACUUGCAGUUUUUUAUUUUUUUUGUUCAGACAAACGUACAUUUUCAUAUAUUCUAUAAUUAAUUACUUUUUCUUGGUUUA